rnacentral:tRNA from 1 species
GUCCUGUUAGCUCAGUUGGUAGAGCAUCUGACUUUUAAUCAGAGGGUCAGAGGUUCGAAUCCUCUACAGGACA